rnacentral:rRNA from 1 species
GACGAACCACACAAACGUUAUUCGGAAUUACUGGGCGUAAAGCGCGCGCAGGUGGUUUCUUAAGUCUGAUGUGAAAGCCCACGGCUCAACCGUGGAGGGUCAUUGGAAACUGGGGAACUUGAGUGCAGAAGAGGAAAGCGGAAUUCCAAGUGUAGCGGUGAAAUGCGUAGAGAUUUGGAGGAACACCAGUGGCGAAGGCGACUUUCUGGUCUGUAACUGACACUGAGGCGCGAAAGCGUGGGGAGCGAACAGG